rnacentral:rRNA from 1 species
UCGAUGAAGAACGCAGCGAAAUGCGAUAAGUAAUGUGAAUUGCAGAAUUCAGUGAAUCAUCGAAUCUUUGAACGCACAUUGCGCCCCUUGGUAUUCCGAGGGGCAUGCCUGUUCGAGCGUCAUUUCAACCCUCGAGCACAGCUUGGUCUUGGGCUUCGCCGCUAACCGGCGGGUCUUAAAAUCAGUGGCGGUGCCGUCGGGCCCUGAGCGUAGUACACCUCCUCGCUAUAGGGCCCUGGCGGAUGCCGGCCAGCAACCCCCAAUUUCUAUGGUUGACCUCGGAUCAGGUAGGGAUACCCGCUGAACUUAA